CCCGACAGAACGACCCGCGAACCCGUGAUUACGCUCGAGGGGGUCCGGCGUGGGGAGCUAUGGCUGCCCGCGUUGGCCGCCUCCCGCUGCGAGGGGUGGGCGAGAUCUCGCCCGCUACUCGCGGCACAACAACGAACCCCCGGCGCGAGCUGCGCCAAGGAAAAUUUUAACGAGUGAGAGAGAGAGCGCUCCCGCCGCCCCCGNACACGGAUCGACGUGCGGGACGUGCUCCUUCUUCCACGAAAAUCCAAAAAUGCGAUACUUGGUGUGAAUUGCAGAAUCCCGUGAACCAUCGAGUCUUUGAACGCAAGUUGCGCCCCAAGCCUUUAGGCCGAGGGCACGUCUGCCUGGGUGUCACGCAUCGUUGCCCCCCCCAACCCCAACCCCAACCCACUCUUGGGGGAUGGUUGGACGGGCGGAAAUUGGCCUCCCGUGCGCUCCCGCUCGCGGUUGGCCCAAAUACGAGUCUUUCGGCGACCGUGUCGCGACGAUCGGUGGUGUAACAUGCCUCUCGAGCUCCCGUCGCGCACUCGCGUCUCCGUGCCACGGGCUCGCUGACCCUUGUAAGCGCUUUCUCUUCGAGACGGUGCUCGCUUUGCGACCCCAGGUCAGGCGGGACUACCCGCUGAGUUUAAGCA
rnacentral:sRNA from 1 species